GUCGGUGUAGUGCAAUGGAAGUAUAUCAGAUAUUUUCCUUCUGAAGAUCCAGCGUUCGAUUCCCUGGCGCCGACC